ACUUGCGGGUCUGAGAGAGGAGGGUGCCGGGGCUCCAGGGUCUGAGGGAGGAGGGGGCUGGAGGACAUAGACUCCCGGGUCUGAGGCAGGGGGGGCCGGGUGGACCUGGGCUCCCUGGUCUGAGGGAGGAGGGACCGGGGACAUGGGCUCCUGAGUCUUAGGGAGGAGGCCGGAUCUGGGCCCCAGGGUCCGAGGGAGGAUGUGAAGCUGUCAACUAAUAGGUUUUUGGCAAGCAGAGGAACAAAUUGAAGUCAGACACAGGGUUGGAAAAACAGAAAGGUUUAUUAACAGCUUGUAAACUGGGAGACAGGCAGAGUCUCGUGACCUAAGGUUGCCAGCUCCCUGAACCAGGGCAGAUAUGCUUUUAUAGGGAGUAACAUACAUGUGCAUGAACAGUGAGGGGGAGAAUCUUCAGUCUUGAGAUGCUUCGGAGGUGUCCCUGACUCCUGGAUCUGAAUAACAAGAGUCAGGUGGCCCCAGACUCCUGGGUUGGUGUCUGAGUGAGAACUAGGUUUGGAGCUCAGCUCUGGUUUGGAUGAGCUGAGCCUGAGGGCUUGGAUUCUUGGUAAGUUGGGAGACCUGAGGAGUGUCUUUUAGCUGACACGAUUGUAAAAAUUUCUUUCAGGUGUGCAAAAUGAAACUCCUCUAUCCCAAACCCACUCCCCAGAGGUGGUCACCACGAGCGAUUUGGUGUAGACUUUGUACCUUAUGGCUCUAAAUGUACGCAUGGGUAGAUAAUGCUUUUUGCCUUCUGACAUAUGUCCCAUAAAUGAAGCAGGUAGUCAUGAAAGGUUUAUUAAGGGUUAUUAACCAUCCCAUAAUAGUUGUUUUUCAGAAAAGCCUACUCUUGGUACGUCUUUGUUACAAUUUUACAGCACUUCACAGUGAUUGGUUGAAUCCCCAGGUUUUUUCUUUUCUGGCAGGUGGCAGAGGUGCAGGUGUGCUAACUACAAAUCUCCCCUCUAUAAGACCUUCCUGGGGUGGCAGUAGCCAGCCAUCACAAUUUUUUUUAGGACUGCGGGCAAUAUAUUUAGAGCCCUGCACAAAAAUUAUGCAGACUGCGCACGCAUCACGAGACUGAAGCUCCUCCCAACACUGAUAAUGCAUAUGUAUGUCACUCCCUAUAAAAGGACCAAAUCUGCCCUGGUUCAGGGAGCUGGCAGCCAUAGGUCAUGAGACCUUGCCUGCCCCCCAGUUUGCAAACCGUGAACAAACCUUUCUGUUCUUCCAACCCUGCCUCGGGCUGGCUUCAAUUCACUAGUCUGCUUGACAAGAACCUAUUAGUUGACGGCUUCAUAAGUAAUGUUCCCACAUCAGUACACACAGAACCACCUCAUUCCUUCAACAGUGUCAAAGUAUUCCAUUGUGUGAACAGGCCAUACUUUGUUUCGCUGGUCCCCUUCCUCAUUUGGGUUGUUUUCUUCCCUUUAGUGGCUCCUCCUAUAAACUUUGUGGCCUGAAAAGAAGAGACCUACGUUCCUCUCUAAUAGGACUCGUUUCACUGGCUCCUGCCUCCAAGUAAAAGCAGAGUCUUCACUGUGGCCGCUGUGAGUUGGAAUUGAUUCGAUGGCAAUGGGUUUGGUUUGUUUUUUCACUAUGGUCCACAAGGCCCUCUAAGAUAUGGCCCCUGUUCUCUCUGACCUCAUGUCCUUCCUGUCUCUUCCUCACCGGAGCUACACUAGCACACUGUGUUUCCUGGUGUUCCUGGAACCUGUCAAGUACAUUUUUUUUUUUUUCCUCUCAAGGCCUUUCCAUUUCCUGGUCACUCUGCCUGGAACUCUACACAUAUGCCCAUGGUGUUCUCCCUCCACCCUGUUUCUGUUCAGAUGUCACCUUGGCAUAAACGGCCCCAGAUCACUGUAUAUAAUAAACAAGGUUCCUCCUUCCUGGCCCUUUGUCCCUUAUCCUCCUUUAUUUGUUUUUGUGGCUCUUAUCCUCUAACAAAGGAACCCUGAUGGCACAGUGGUGAAGCGCUCAGCUAUUAACCAAAAGGUUAGCAGUUAGAAUUACUAGCUGGUCUAUGGAAGAAGGAUGUGGCAGUCUGUUUCCAUAAAGAUUUACAGCCUUUUGAAACCGUGUGGGGCAAUUCUUUGUCCUAUAGGGUUGCUUGUAUGCUCAGCAGAUAAUCCGAGAAGCUGGACUAUAUGAAGAAGAAUGGGGCAUCAGGAUUGGAGGAAGACUCAUUAACAACGUGCAUUAUGCAGAUGUCACGAUCUUGUUUGCUGCAAGUGAAGAAGGCUUGAAGCACCUACUGAUGAAGAUUAAAGACCACAGCCUUCAGUAUGGAUUACACCUCAACAUAAAACAAAAAUUCUCAAAACUGGACCAAUAAGCAGCAUUAUGAUAAACGGAGAAAAGAUUGAGGUUGUCAAGGAUUUUGUUUUACUUGCAUCCACAAUUAACACUCAUGGAAGCAGCAGUCAAGAAAUCAAAAGACACGUUGCAUUGAGCAACUCCGCUGCAAAAGACCUCUUUAAAGUGUUGAGAAGCAAAGAUGUCAGCUUGAGGACUAAGGUGCACCUGACCCAAGCCAUGGUGUUGUCAAUCACUUCAUAUGCAUGCGAGAGCUGGACAAUGAAUAAGGAAGACUGCAGAAGAAUUGAUGCCUUUGAAUUGUGGUGUUGGCAAAGAAAAUGGAAUAUACCAUGGGUGGCCAAAAGGACGAACAAGUCUGUCUUGGAAGAAGUGCAGCCAGAAUGCACCUUAGAAGCAAGGAUGGCGAGACUGUUUUUCAUGUACUUUAGAUGUAUUAUCAGGAGGGAUCAGUCCCUGGAGAAGGACAUCAUGCUUGGUAAAAUAGAGGGUCAGUAAAAAAGAGAAAGACCCUGGACGAGAUGGAUUGGCACAGUGGCUACAACAGUGGGCUCAAGCAUAGCAAUAAUUGUGAGGAUGGUGCAGGACUGAGCAGUGUUUCAUUCUGUUUUGCAUAGGGUCACUAUGAGUACUAACCAACUCAACGGCACCUAACAACAACAACAACAACAGGAUCUCUGUGAGUCAGAAUCGACUGUAUGGUAAUGCAGUUAGCCCUUAACAUAUAAUAUCUGUUUGUUUAUAGACCUGUUUUCUGCCUCCCCUACUGAAAUGUCAACUCCGUGAGAACAAGGAUUUGUGUUUCAUUUGAUCACUGCUGUAGAUCCAGUGUCUGAAAACCUUUGGGAUCACAACAAAAAAGAAAAUGACCCAACCCAUCUACUGGAAAACUGAAAAACUGAGCUGUUUCCUACCAUUUGUACCUUAAGAAAAAAUCCACUGGGGUUGAGUCGAUUCCGACUCAUAGCAACUCUGUAUGGAGUAGAACUACCCCAUAGGUGUUCCAAGGAGCAACUGGGGGAUACGAACUACAGACCUUUGGAUAGGAGACUGAGCUCUUAACCACCUUGCCACCAGGGCUCCAAUUUGUACAUUACAUUUAAAGAAUUAGGAAGAGCUGUUAAACUGGAUAGAUAUCAGUUACUAACAACUAAACAGGAACUUGAGUGUCUAUUUUUGGCCUUGCCAUCAUGCUCCAGAAAUACUCUGAUGCAAGUAAAAGUUAUGGUAAAGUGUUGCAAAGUAUAGGAAUAAAAUAUCCCUCUUUUUCAAAUUAAAAUCUUUUUUUUUUAAGGUGUGAUUUGGCAUAUACAUGGAAAAUGAAGUCAUUCUAGUAAAAUAUCAAUUCAGAGUUAUAAGGAGCAUGAUCAUAGUAAGGACUUUUGCAAAGUUAAAUAACUACCAUGAGGUACCAACAUUUCCUGAUUGAAUCCUCACUAUGUCUCCACGUGGUAGGAAAUUUUAUGUCAGUCCAUCCUACAGAUGAGAAAACUUCAGCUCAGAAAGAUUAAGUAACUUGAACAAAGUCACAGAACUGGUGGUGGUGGUGGUGUGAGGCAGGAUUUGGCGUGGCAUUGGGGAUGGGUUUGGAACUAGAGAUGGGGUUUGGUAGAGGUUGAAUUUUGUUGAGUAAUAAGGUUGAGGUGUUGGGGGUAGGAAUGGGUUAUGGUUAUGGCUGGGAUGAGGUUAGGUUGGUGAUGGAGAUGGAUUGGAGAUUGGGUCGAGGAUAGAACUGGGAAUGGGCUCGGCUGAAUUUGAGGUUAAGGUUCACAGGUUAUAGGGAUGGGUUGUGAUUGUGGAUGGGAAUUGAGAUAGAGAAAAAGAUGGGAUUGGAGAUGGAUUGGGGUUGACUUUGAGGCUGAGUUCAUAGGCAGUAGGAUUGGGUUGGGUUGGGUUGAGUUUGAAGGCAGCGUUGAGAAUGGUUAGGCAUGGGUUGAGUUGGGUGUUGAGAUUUGUGACGAGGUUAGGAAUGGUAAUGGGGGUGGUUUGGAUCUCAGAAGGGAAUGUGGAUGAGUUUAAGAUUUGUUGGUGAUGGGGAUGGAAGCUGAAGUUGAGGCUAGUAUUGGGGCUGGAGAUGGGGUUGGGCUGGGGGUUGAGAAUUUUAUUGGGAUGGUUUGGAGAUUGGGAGGGAGAUGGGGUUAGGAUUAGGUGAGGAUGAGGAUAGGGAUGAGAUUGGUGUGUGGUGGGGAUGAGGUUGGGUAUCGUGAUGGGCACUAGAUGAGCCAUUCCUCGCCUUGGUCCCGAGGGAAAGAUCUCAGUGCCAUGCCUGUCAGGGUGCUGGCGAUGAAGAGGGAGAAGUCCAGCAUGGGCAGGUUGGAGCUAGUAAAGAAGAUGGUGUUUAGGAGGGUGAUGCAGAUGCAGAAACCAGUGAGGCUGGAGAUGAAGAUGAAGAGCCAGGCACAGUCCAGCAAGUCUGGAAGAGUAUCAAGAAGGGAGAGUAUUAGGAACACCAACACUAGCCCUCAGGCUCUGACCAUGGCGGAGAGGGUCACCAGUGAGGCUGGGAAUGUUCUUGGGCUCCUCCCUCAGAUAUUUUUCAUCCCCACUUUAGUAACAAUGAUACUGAGGUCUAAAGAAGGGUUAUUGAGGCAGACAGCCCGAGCAUUGAGGAUACACUUUUGGGUCAGUGAGGACAGGCUCUUGGGCAAUGGGAAGUGGGGUAGCAUUGAGGAAUGUGUGAAGGUGGGUCCCCUGGAGUGAAAAAGAUAGCCACAGUGUAGUGUGUUAUGGUCCUAGUUUUGUGAGGAUUGUGAGGAUGUGUCUCAUGUAGUUGAGGAUGAGCACAGGACAGUGAGGAUGGUCCUUGGGGCAGUGCCAUCCCAGGGCAGCGACAGCCAUCGCAGGGGCAGAGGCAGGAAGGACCAUCAGGUGACAUAGAGGGCCAUCCCAGGCCCAAGGGCAGGGAGGAUCAUCCUGAGGCAAUGAGGACCAUCUGGGAACAGGGUGGACCAUCAUGGGGGCAGUGAGGGCCAUCCCAGGGGCAGGGAGGACCAUCUGGGGUGAGGGAGGGGCUUGAGGGCCAUCCUGGGGGGAGGUAGGGGAAGAGAGGGUUAUGGGGGGAGAAGGGGCAGGAAGGAUCAUUCCAGGAAAAGGCGGAACCGUCCCCUGACAGGAGAAGAGGGUCCCUGGAACAAGGAGGAGAGAUGAGUCCCAGCAAUGGCAAGGAUAGGGCAGGCCUUACAAGCAUUCUGGUCAUACUCCCGCAGGCAGGAGAUGUCCAAGCACCGCACGAAGAAGAUGGUGUUGAUGGGGAAGGUUUGGGAGCCAGCAGGGUCCCCAGGGGGCCUCAGUGGCACCUGGAAGUGCAUCCAGGGCUGGCCCAGAGAGAUGAGACUGAUGAUCACCAUGCCAGCCAGGCUCAGUGCCAGGCUCACCAUGCGGCUGAUCUUCUUGGCCUCAUGCAGCAACCGCCAGCCAAGGGGCAGCAGUGUAAAGACGCAGCUACUCCUGCGCUGAGACCUGCAGCAGAUGGUCCACUGCCAGUGUUAGCACCCAGUCUGGCAACUCAGGCCGGUCACCCCAGGUCCCGCUAUAAGACCCUGCCACACUUAGUCUAGCCUUCAGACUCUAUCUUCCCCACCUGAUCCAUCUCCCAGGCCCUGUAUCCCCCAAGCCCCACCUCUAGGAUUUGCUCCCUGAGAUUCAGCUUCCAGGCUCCCUUGCUCCCAGGGCUAGCUUCCAGACCCUACGACAUGCAAAGUCUGUCUUUAGGCUGAAUCCUAAGUCCAGCCUCUAUGCCAUGCCCUCUCCAGGCACCGCUUCUAAGCCCUAGGUCCAGCCCAGUCUCAGAUACACCAAGCCAUGCUUCUAGGCCCCAUCCUUUGACUGCUGCCCCUUCCCUUGAAUUCUAGCCCAGUACCUGGCCUACUGCCUGGGGAUCCCUGCCAACCUUGCCUCUCACCCUCUAGUCUCUCCCACAAAGGAGAUGACCGAGUGGACGGUGCGGAUGUUGCUGUCUGCAGGAGUUUGGAGGGGUUUGAUGGUGGACAAGUUGUCUUUGGAAUUCUCUUGGGAGCUCCAGAUAAUUGAUCCGAUGAUUCUGGCACUGCCCUCACAGCUGGGGGUAUUUGAUGUGGAGAUGUCGGAACUGGACUGGGCUUGUGGCAGGAGGCCUUGAGCGCUUAACUGAAGGAUCUGAGUUGCUGAUGAGGGGCCUUGGAUGCCCCUGUAGUCCUCUUGGGUAAGUGACUGUGUUUCGGAGUUGUGUUUCGGAGCACUCUGGCCACUGAGGUGGCGAGUUUGGUACACUGACAGAGAAUCUCGGUUACUGAAGCGGCGAUUGUAGAUGGCUGAUGGGGCAUCUUGGAUACUGACCCGGCGAUUUUGGAUACUUGGCAGAAGCUCCUGGAUACUGACCUGGCGACCUAGGCUAGUUGACAGAGGCUCCUGGAUACUGACCCGGCGACCUAGGCUAGUUGACAGAGGUUCCUGGCUACUGACCCGGCGACCUAGGCUAGCUGGCGGAGGCUCCUGGCUACUGACCUGGCGACCUAGGCUAGCUGGCGGAGGAUCCUGGCUACUGAACCGGCGACCUAGGCUAGUUGACGGAGGCUCCUGGAUACUGAUCCGGCGACCUAGGCUAGUUGGCGGAGGCUCCUGGCUACUGAUCCGGCGACCUAGGCUAGUUGGCGGAGGCUCCUGGCUACUGAUCCGGCGACCUAGGCUAGUUGGCGGAGGCUCCUGGCUACUGACCCGGCGACCUAGGCUAGUUGGAAGAGGCUCCUGGAUACUGACCCGGCGACCAUGGCUUGUUGGCAGAGGUUCCUGGAUACUCACCCGGCGACUGUGGAUAAUUGGUGGAGGCUCCUGGAUACUCACCCGGCGACUGUGACCAAUUGGUGUAGUGUCUUGGGUACUGGUGUGGGGGCUGUUGAGAGGGGUUGGAAGGAUACCUGGCUGGCUGUUCUGAGAGCCAAACUGGGGCCUCUGGGACAUGAGGAGAAGCUGAGCAGGGCCAGUCCCCGAUGUAGUCAACAGCCUGCCAACUGCUUCAAUCCCUCUUUCCCAGCAUCUCCACAGUCACCUGGAGGCUGGUUUGUCUCUCUCCAGGGUUCAAGCACAGUCCUGUGGGGUUUGGGUCUUUUUACCCCUUCUUCUGUGUGUCUUGGUCUCUUUUGCUGUCCACUGGAUUCAGCCUGCAGCUGGGGGCAUGGAGAGGUUCCAUGACAGUUGGAGUGGUUCCAGGAGGUUGCGAAGUUGGCCCUGGGUGAGUGACCUGGAGGCUGGGUCAGGGUAAGGAUUGCCUCAUUAAAGGCCAGGGCAGGGUUAGUAUGAAAUUGGGGCUGGGGAAAGAGAAGUCAGGGCAGGGUUAGUAUGGGGCCAGGGCUGGAUCAAAGAGAUGUCAGGGUAGGCUCAGGUGGGGGUCAGAGGAUAGAGAGGGGUCAAAGUGGAGACUGAAUAGGGUGAUAAAGGGGUUAGGGCAGGACCAGGAUGGAGUUUGGAGUUGGAGAAAAAACAAGUAGGUUUGGGGCUAGGAUAAGGUUGUGGAUGGGGAAUGAGUUUGGCAUUAGGGUUAGGGGUGGGAAUGGGACGCAUGUGGAGUUAGAGAAGGGGAUAGGAUUGUGUUUGGUGUUUAGGAUGGAGAGAACAUUGUGGAUGGUGCUCGAGACAAAGUUAAGGUUGGUGUCUGGGUAGGAAUAGAGAUAAGCAUGAGGCUGUGGUUGGGGUUUGGAUGAGGAAGGGGAAAUGGUUGGGGAUAGAAAUGGAUUGAGAAUGGGGUAACGGCAAGGGUUGGAGGAGGUUGGGGAUGAGGCUGUGGUUGGGGAUGGAGACUAAGAAUCCAACAGAGUGAUGCAGGCGGACCAGGCCCCCAGAACUCUCCUGUUUCCCAGAAGACCUGAUCUCUUCCUGGGAGGAGGACCGUAAGUUCAUCCUGCGGGGCUGGUCUCUAGUCUUCAGCAUUGUCGCGGCCAUAAUGAUGCUCAGUAUGGGCAAUGGGCGCAUGGCCUACGUUGAGGGCUCCUACACGGGUUACCUGGGCUUCUGGACUGACUGCAGGAGGAACAAGUGCGCCAACGUGGGCCAAGUCACCGCCCCCGCCAGAAAACUACCAGGUUUCCCUGAGCCAUCACAGCCUAAAAGCUCAAGAAGACCCAGCUCAGCUUGUCCAUGUCAGCCACAGCUUCCCACACCCGUACUUCAACUUGUGUCUUGGAGAAGGAAAGCAUCACCUCAGAAGAUGACCCCAGCCGUGACCUCAUCCUGCCUCAUCUGAAAGAGGCCACCCAGCUCACAGAUGCUGCGAAGGUCCUGGACCUGCCCACCAGGGAGCUGACAUGGGGAGCACUGCGCCAUCUCAGGCUGAGGCAGCAUCGAUCCAGUGUCGCUCUCAGACAAUCUCAGUGUGUGGACCUCACACCUACGUCGUAACACCGAGUGUAGCAGUCCCGACACCCACAUGAUGACAGACUUCAUGCUGUACAGUGGUAACUUGAUGGUCAUCCAAGACACCUGCAGAGUGAGGCUGCCCCCCCGCCCAGGAUCUGCAAGGAUGUAGGAGGGGACCCAGAUUCUGUCUCCUGCCCAGCGUCUCAACCCCCUCUCCCACAUUCCCCUCCAGGAGUUGAGAUGUGCUGUGGGGGCAGAGAGGUGAGAUAGGAGAGCUGAGGGGAUAAACAACCUGGUCAGGAAGAGACCUCAUAGAGAAGGGUGAUUCAGCGGGCCCACUGAUCUGUGAUGAAAUGUUGCAAGAUACUGUGUCAGUGGGUAACUUUCCACGUGGCAUCUACAGUUUUCCCUCCAUCUUCACCAAACUGAUGCUGUACGUGGGGUAGAUCAGAGACACCAUGGCAGCCAACCUCUGAAUACCCCCGCCUGCCCCCUACCCUCAGUAAAAUCAAACAUGCAUCAAUGUCUAGAAAAGUCAUCUGACCUUUCUAGACAUUGGGCACCUGGAAGGUUGAGACUCAUCUGUUUAAG